UGAAACCCAGGCCAAGUAAAAAGCCAGUUUUCUGUAUUCUCUAGUAUUUACCAGUUUCAUCCUCUGGAAUGCAGCUUUUACUCUGCUUAUUGCCAGGUGAAGAGCAGAACCUAAGAGGAUAAUAUGAUAACCAAAGAAGGCAACUGAAAAAUGGAAAACAAGAGAAGGUGUUCCUAAACUGGAGAGAGGCCUAACACCAAAGCCAGCUUGUGGUAAAUGGAAUAAAAAAGUAUACUGAGUCUUCAUGACCUAUGGGACUUGCCAGAGGUUGCCUAAGGCCUCACAGACCUGGACCUGAAUUCCAACUCUGCCACUUACUAGGUCUUGGAACUGGGUCAGUGUUUUAAGUUGGCGAGGUAUCCAUGAGGUUUUCAACUGGGUCCACUUCUACCAUGAUCUCCUUUCUCCUGGCCGUUUCUUUAAAGGGCCUUGUGACAGCCCUUUAUUUGUGAGGCUCUGCACUUGCGGAUGGAGUCGCAUAUGGAAUGAGGGAAACGGCACAUUUGACAAAUGGGAAUCAUGAUUGUCUGGCCUCCUGACAGGUGUUGAUGUGUUCUCCUGACCUGUAAAUGUUGCAGCUGACUGAUUACAGUAAUUGAUUGAGAAAACAUUUGUCAAUAGCUUUCUAAUGAAGGAGAGAGGUGAGGAGGAAAGAUUGCUGGAGCUCCUAGGAGCUGGAUUUCACUUAACAGAAGGAGCACUGAACCAUGUUCUAAUCACUGAAUUCCAUAUCCCCAUCUAUAAAAUGGAAAUUCCAUUCAUCUGGUCAACAUUUGUGGAGUACCUACUAUGUGCUAGAUAAGAGGUCAAAAGCUGGUGAUUUAUAAGUAGAAUAUGAUCCUCAUACUUGGUCUGUGUCCUGCUUAGUUGAUCUGCACCAUCCUUUUGUUACAGUUGGAAGCAGAUGGCCGAUAUGUAAAAUCAGGAUAUUUCACAUUAAAAAUAUAAGUUUCUGGAAUCCCUUGGAAAAACCAUUAUUUGGCAGCACUGGGCCUGUACGUCUGCAAGGCAACAUUUGUCUCAACUUAGGUAGCCACUGCCUCUUGGAAAUGGGCUAUAUGCCCUAAGUUUGUCCAUGUUCCUACCACUCCAUGAUUAUAUCUAUUAGUGUUAGCAGUCUGGGUCCUCGUAGGAUUCCCAGUUUGAGAUCCUUGGUUUAG